rnacentral:rRNA from 1 species
GAUGAACGCGGCGGCGUGCCUAACACAUGCAAGUCGAACGGAGAUUAUUGACGGAAGUUUUCGGAUGGAAGACAGUAAUCUUAGUGGCGGACGGGUGAGUAACGCGUGGGUAACCUGCCCCGUACAGGGGGAUAGCGUCGGGAAACUGACGGUAAGACCGCAUAGGACCACAUAUUCGCAUGGAUAAGUGGUGAAAAGGGAAACCUGGUAUGGGAUGGACCCGCGUCCGAUUAGCCAGUUGGCAGGGUAAAGGCCUACCAAAGCUUCGAUCGGUAGCCGGACUGAGAGGUCGGACGGCCACAUUGGGACUGAGACACGGCCCAGACUCCUACGGGAGGCAGCAGUGGGGGAUAUUGCACAAUGGAGGAAACUCUGAUGCAGCGACGCCGCGUGAGUGAAGAAAGUGCUCCCGGCAUGUAAAAGCUCUUUCAGCCAGGGAAAG